rnacentral:rRNA from 1 species
AGAAUCAACGCUGGCGGCGUGCCUAACACAUGCAAGUCGAACGAGAAAGUGGAGCAAUCCAUGAGUAAAGUGGCGCACGGGUGAGUAACACGUGACUAACCUACCUUUUAGUGGGGGAUAACCUAGGGAAACCUGGGCUAAUACCGCAUAAUACCUACGGGUCAAAGCAGCAAUGCGCUGAAAGAGGGGGUCGCGGUCGAUUAGUUAGUUGGCAGGGUAAAUGGCCUACCAAGACUGUGAUCGAUAUCCGGCCUGAGAGGGCGCACGGACACACUGGAACUGAAACACGGUCCAGACUCCUACGGGAGGCAGCAGUGGGGAAUUUUGCGCAAUGGGGGAAACCCUGACGCAGCAACGCCGCGUGGAGGAUGAAGUCCCUUGGGACGUAAACUCCUUUCGAUCGGGACGAUAAUGACGGUACCGAAGAAGAAGCCCCGGCUAACUUCGCGCCAGCAGCCGC